GGACUACUGGGGUUUCUAAUCCUGUUCGAUCCCCACACUUUCGUGCCUCAGCGUCAGUUGUUGGCCAGUACAAUGCCUUCGCUAUCGGUGUUCCUGAUGGUAUCUAUGCAUUUCACCGCUACACCAUCAAUUCCAUGUACCCCUCCAACACUCAAGCUAAACAGUAUCAACGGCACUGCUCCGGUUAAGCCGAAGUCUUUCACCGCUGACUUAUUCAGCCGCCUACGCACCCUUUAAACCCAAUAAAUCCGGACAACGCUUGCACCCUCCGUAUUACCGCGGCUGCUGGCACCC
rnacentral:misc_RNA from 1 species